AAAAAGACAAACCCUGGUUUCCGUGCUCAACGUUUGACCGUUCGUCUUAUUUGAAAAUUAUGAAAAAUAUUAAAAAGACAAGUCACGCAUAAAAUAUUAAUCAUGUUUUAUCAUCUAACAACAAUGAAAAUACGAAUUAUAAAAAAAUUUCAUAUAAGACGGACAGUCAAAGUUGGACACGAAAACAUAGGGUUUGACUUUUU
rfam:Oryza sativa Japonica Group DNA, chromosome 8, cultivar: Nipponbare, complete sequence.